AUUGAACGCUGGCGGCAUGCUUUACACAUGCAAGUCGAACGGCAGCACGGGAGCAAUCCUGGUGGCGAGUGGCGAACGGGUGAGUAAUAUAUCGGAACGUGCCCAGUCGUGGGGGAUAACGCAGCGAAAGCUGUGCUAAUACCGCAUACGCUCUACGGAUGAAAGCGGGGGAUAGCAAGACCUCGCGCGAUUGGAGCGGCCGAUAUCAGAUUAGCUAGUUGGUGAGGUAAAGGCUCAACAAGGCGACGAUCUGUAGCUGGUCUGAGAGGACGACCAGCCACACUGGAACUGAGACACGGUCCAGACUCCUACGGGAGGCAGCAGUGGGGAAUUUUGGACAAUGGGCGCAAGCCUGAUCCAGCAAUGCCGCGUGCAGGAUGAAGGCCUUCGGGUUGUAAACUGCUUUUGUACGGAACGAAACGGCGAGCUCUAAUACAGUUUGCUAAUGACGGUACCGUAAGAAUAAGCACCGGCUAACUACGUGCCAGCCGCCGCGGUAACAC
rnacentral:rRNA from 1 species